GUCCGCACUGUAAACGAUGAUUACUCGCUGCUGGGAGGUAACUUUCAGUGGCUUAGCGAAAGCGAUAAGUAAUCCACCUGGGGAGUACGCCGGCAACGGUGAAACUCAAAGGAAUUGACGGGGGCCCCGCACAAGCGGAGGAGCAUGUGGUUUAAUUCGAUGAUACGCGAGGAACCUUACCAGGGCUUGAAAGUUAGUGACCGCUCCUGAAAGGGAGCUUUCCGCAAGGACACGAAACUAGGUGCUGCAUGGCUGUCGU
rnacentral:rRNA from 1 species